rnacentral:sRNA from 1 species
AAGCCAAGGUGCUAGGCCUUUGCAUUGGUCACAUCCCUCAUGUCAUGCCUUGUGCCCUUUUCCUUCAGGGAGGCUGGCGGUGUCUCUGCCCCUGUGGCUCCUGGAGGCAGGUGGCAAUAAGUACUUCUCGAGGAGAAUGAACCUCGAGUAUCUACAGCUGCUCUAUUCCAUUCCCGCCCCUCUCGUUAGGGCUUAAAAAGAGUACGGAGUCCAUGAUGCAGGUGGUUUGAAUGAAAAGCAACCCCCCUUAGCCUGGGUAUUUGAAACCAUGGCUCCCGGUUAGUGGUGCCGUUUGGGGCGCGUUAGGAAGAUGUUGGCAGAUGUACAUCGCUGGGGUGGGCUUUCUCGUUCCCCCUCUCUGCCUUGUGCUGCUCUUGAAACUGCAAGCUCUCAGCUGCCUGCUGCCGCCAUGCAGGUCAUUUGUGGGUAUGCUUCUCUUCUCUGAUGGACUCUUACUUACUUCUUUGGAAUUGUAAGGUGAAUCAAACCCAUCCUUCCUGAAGUGUCCUCCUCGGUCAUAUGAUCCAUCACAGCAUCAGAAAAGUAACAUCUAUGCUGCUGAGUCCCUUCUCUGCCACCCCAUCACUCAAGGCAAGCCCAGGUCCCCAGGCAAUCACACGGCAGCAUUCUUAUCGUGACUCCGGGGAAGCAGCCCCGCCUCCAUGUUGGGUCUGUGCACACAGGCAGCUCUGUUAGGCAGUUAAAGACACACAUGGGAAGAACGAAAAGCACGAGGCAGUGUUUAUGGAAAUCGAGAUGCCCUUGUAAUUAAAGACUGCUCUGCAGGGAGAACCUUUGGAACUUGAGCUCUGUGAGUAAGAAAAAAAAAGCCAGAACCAAAGUCUGGUGACCUAGGGACUCAUCCAGCCCUCACCUCCCUAGCAGGAGGAGGUGGAUGAGGCGAUGUGGUUUUCUCAGGACAACUGCCAUUUGGUUCUGUCUGUGGCUUAAAGGUUAGUGAAGAAGCAGUAACCUGUACUCUGUACUCUGCACAAGUUGUACUCUGGUUUUGUGUUUGGAUCCGGAAUGUUCUUAGGAGAAUUGCAGGUCUUAGUAAUUCUGAGGAGGGCUAGGGAUGGGUGGCAGGGCCUCAUCCAUGCUGGGCCCCUUCACAGAUUCCAUUAACUGCUACAUUUCACAAUAGCUGGCAUUUCAAAAUUAACCAUCGAUGUUGGGAGUCGCCAAGUAAAAGAUUUCUAGACAGACGCUGCUGUUGGCAGCCCCACGGGCACACAGAGGGACGGAGUGUGAGCAGUGUCUCGGAUGAACGCAGGCUCGUCCCAGAGUGGGAUUCCUGUUCACCUGGGGGAUGUAGAACAGGUGAUGGUUUGUCUUGGUCAUCAACUUGACAAGGUCUAAAGCCAACUGGGAGACAGGUCUCUGUUUCGCAGAUUAUGCAGGCUGGGUUAACUGAGGUAGAGAGACUCACCCUAAGCAAGGGCAGUAUCGUUCCACGGGCUGGGGUUCUUUGUUGAAAAAGGAAGACAGCAUGGCCAACACCGACAUUCAUCUUUCUGCUUCCUGAGGGUGGGCACAAGGUGAUCAUCGGCUUCUUGUUCGUCUACCAUAAUGGACUGUACCCUGGAACUGUGAGCUGAAGUAAGCCUCCCUUCUUAAGAUUACUCGUAUCAGGUAUUUUGUCACAGCAACAACAAAAUGUGACCAAUACACAUGCCCACUGAAGAGCACCCGCUCCUGCACCCAAAGGACCAGUAUCACCAGAAAGAAGACCAAGUGCCAGCAAGUGGCUUUCGGACAGGUCUCAGCUACCCAUCAUGUUAUCCAGGCUACCAGUAGAGUCAUCUUGACACAUUAGUCUGCCCCCUCCUCAGCCUCUUCAGGCUAGAUGCCUGCUACAUUUUCAAACAUCCCCAACUCAACCACCUUCCCCAGUGGAGCAUCCAUCCUGGCUGAAGAUUCCAUCGUUUCUUUUCUGUUGUGGCCUCCUCGACUGCCCCGACUUCUACAUGCUCCUGGAUGCCGCCAUGACUUUCGGACUCUGCCCUAGACUGAGCAACUUUCCUAAAAUGCUCUAAUAGAUUUCCUCUGUCCUAGGGAUGGAACCCAGCUCCUGACCCAGCUUCCAAUUCUGUAGAUGUCCACUGAGCACCUCCUGAGUAUCAGACACUUGUCCUAGGGAUGGGUGCUUCUGUGCCGGAAGAGACAGAGGACCACUGCCUCCAGCCAACAGGGUGACAGCAAACAAACAAGUUUCCUUAUCCGUAUGAUGUGGUGAGGUCGGAGGGUAAUAGCAUGCAGGCUACGGAAGGUGCUGCAGUGAGCGAGCUCUUGCCUUGCAAGUGUGAGGACCUGAGUUCCAUCCCUAGAACCUGUAUAGAAAACAGUGAUGCACACUUGUGAGGAGCCCAGCGCUAAUGCAGUAGGAAGCAGGACAGGCAGAUGCUCGGAGCUCAUUGCCAGUUAGUCCAGCCCACUUGGCAAAGUUCUAGUUCAAUGAGAGACCCUGUCUGAAAUAAUGAAAAGCUUCCUGAGGAACAACAUCUGAAAUUGCUUUUGACCUCCACACAUGUGUGCAGAUGCACAUGUACACACACACACCAAAAUAAAAAGAAAAAUGAUGAAUAAGGUAGAAGUGGCCAUGAGGGCUAUAUAGUAUGAGGAAACCCUGUAGAAGAUCCAAGUUGUGAAAUCUAUGUUUAGUUGUACAGAGGCCAGCUUGGGCGUGACAUCCACAUCAUAGGACUCUGGAGACUGGGAGUACAUGCUAAUAAGACUGGGGAAGGACAAGAGCUACUGCGGAUGUUACUGUGAUAGUCUUUAGGACUGAAUUGUAUCCCUCCAAAUCUGUAUGCUUGAGCCCUAAUCCCCAUUAGGCCUGUGUUUGUAAAUCGGGACUUUGGAAAGGUCAUUUACUUUAGAUGAAACCUCAGAGCUCUGUCUUCAUCCAAUAGGAUUGGUGUCAUGACAAAAAGGAGAGACACCAUGAGUGACCGGGCAUCCAUGCCACAGCAUAGGAAGACAUGGCCUGAGGACGGCCAUUGGCAAGUCAAGGAGAAGCCAAGCCGGCUGGACAUCUUGAUCUUGGACGUCCAGUCUCAGAAUAGAGAUAGUAAGUGUCUGCAGUUUUAGCCACAUACUGUGGUGCUUUGUUGUGACAUCUCCAGUAGACUGGUCCAGAUGUGCAAUGUUGGAGGGUCCAGAUGGACACAGCCCCCUUUGGAGGUGAUAUCAACAUCAAGCAGGACUCCAUGGAGAUGGCAGCCUGGGAUGCCAGGUAGAUGUGGCAAAUUCCUGCAAGUGUGGGUAAGCCAUGGGGACCUUUUAGGUAGGAACAUGGUCACCAGACUCAGAUGUCAAGACACUGGGGUUUCCUCUCACCCCUUCAUUUCCAUGCCAACUAGGAAGUGGGGGUGGGUAAGGGUGGUCAUUGCCCUAUGACUUCCUCUCUUUGGGGGUUGGGUUCUUUGGGGCCCAUUGUUCCCCUGAACAAAAGGACACUGAUCAUCUGGUUGUUUGUGGCUUCUGGUGCCAGUAGGAGAAGCUGCCUCUCAGUUUUUUCACUCCACCCUGGGGCACCAGAUGCUGCCAGGCCUCUGGGUACAACAGAGCCUACAGAGGAAGGAUGGAGAUUGGACCUGAGCCACAAAAGAGGUAUUGAUGGGUUGUGGGCGGGCUCGGGAGGCUGAGGACAGUACCAGGAUAGCCCUGGACUGACAUAGGCUUGCUGGCCUGUGAGCAGUAUGGCUGCUCCUCUGUGUUGAGCCUCAGUUUCUUUUGCUCUUUCCUACUCUUCCCAUUCUCCCCCUCCUAAUACCCUCCCAGCCUGUACAGCAGCUGCCUACCAGUCAAGGGCUCCAGCCCUCCUGCUGCCUCCUCUCUGGGUGGGUUGCCACCCCAGUCCAGGAUGCCUUUGUUUAGAUAUGCCCUUACCUGCCUUCCAUAUACACCCUAGAAGCCUCUGAGACGGCUGUUCUAGAAAAUAUCGACGGGACAUAGCUGUCUGGUUGAUCUCACUUGGAUCCAGGCGGCCACUGGGACCAGUGACCUACGUCUCCACUUCUGUCACCAUGACCAUCCUCUGGGAACAGGCUUCUGAUACUAUUUUCCCCAUAUCCUCACCAGGCCAGGUACCCUGGCUUUCCUCAGGACCCAGAUAUCUAGGCUCUUGAGCCCUACUGGCCUAGAGUGGGCAUUUUUCUAUUCUAUUCCCAGGGCCCUUGUCCUGUAUUGGCACCUUUCUUCUUUAUUGGGUUGACCAGCAGUCCGGUACUUGGGCUUACAUCAAGGCUGUGGAAUCUUGCAUUUAAAAUGCUAGUCCAAGGGGACAGUGCUAGUCUCAAAAGAGCAUUUGGGAUAGCUGGACAGGUGACCUAGGACGCCUUUUUGGUUCAGAUGUGUCAGUGCUGUUUCACAUCAUGAAUGCUCCAAGCUGCCCACUGUGGGGCCCCGUCUCAUCUCAUCCCUGUGGAGUCACCCACUGUUGGAUAUUUGCCAAGUGGAGAGAGAGUAAACACUCACUCCCAGAGGGUGUGCGUUUGCCCAGGCUGCUCCAUUUAUGCAGGGCCUAUGAGCAAGCUUGGUGCAGAAUCAGCUCCACCACAGCCCUUCUGAACCUGUAAAUGCUUCAGAGUCCCCUAGCCUGGCUUGUCAGUUUCUCCCAGGAGGCCGAGAGCUGGAUCCGAUCACUUCAACAGUGUUGGGCUCUGCCUUGUGUAGGUUUUCUUUGUAAUAGUUCAGAGGACUUCUCCUGUAUUCUAGCCAAUGAAUCCACUGUCAUAAGUAAUUGCAGAUGACAUUGGGACGCUUUCCACAGUGCUGUUCCGUUUGUUCCUUAGAGUCAGCUGUGAGGGACUCAGAGCUCAUGAUGAUUACCCCUCCUACUUCUAACAGAGGAGAUGCCAAGGCUUAGGGACUAUUAACAUUUUGCUCAAGGGCACACAGGCUGAGGUUGAGCAUAGUGCCCAGCUGGGAACAUUCUCUUCUGCUUGCCUGCCCGCCUACUGUCUCUGUUCCUCCCUCUUUCCUUUGGGCCUGUGGUGGGGGACUGGGUAUAGUCCUGGCUAACUAACAAGCCUUGAGAGUUUAACAAGCUAAAGUUGGGAGGCUUUUCUGCCUGAGGGGACAGACAUCCUCUUCUAAAUCUGGAGCCUCUGAAGACUCCCAUUCCAGCUUUAAACAAAUCUGAGAUUAAAAUUAGUAAAAUUAACCAUGUAGGGACAGAGGAUGUAGCUUAGUCAAUAGAGAUGGAGUGCUUGCCUGAUAUGUACAAAGCCUUGGGUUCUAGCCCCAGCAUCCCAUAAACCAUAGGCAUGGUGACCUCACCUAUAAUCCCAAUACUUAGGGGGUAGAGGCCAGAGAGCCAGGAGGGUCAUUACUGGUUCUAUAGUGAGUUUCAAGGUCAGCUUGGGUUAUAUGAGUCCCUCCCUAAUAAGCCAAAUACAUAAUUAUCCAAAUACAGUUGUAUUUCUGUGGCAAUUUUUCCAGCUUUAUGAAUACAUAUUUAGAAGCAAAUUGUUAUAUUUAUAUUUCUUUGUUUUAGAAAUAUAACCUCUUUCCCAGCCCCCCUUCUCAUUCCCCCUCCUCCUACUUCUAUG